GACGAACGCUGGCGGCGUGCCUAAUACAUGCAAGUAGAACGCACAGUUUAUACCGUAGCUUGCUACACCAUAAACUGUGAGUUGCGAACGGGUGAGUAACGCGUAGGUAACCUGCCUGGUAGCGGGGGAUAACUAUUGGAAACGAUAGCUAAUACCGCAUAAUAUUAGUUAUUGCAUGAUAAUUGAUUGAAAGAUGCAAUUGCAUCACUACCAGAUGGACCUGCGUUGUAUUAGCUAGUAGGUGAGGUAACGGCUCACCUAGGCGACGAUACAUAGCCGACCUGAGAGGGUGAUCGGCCACACUGGGACUGAGACACGGCCCAGACUCCUACGGGAGGCAGCAGUAGGGAAUCUUCGGCAAUGGACGAAAGUCUGACCGAGCAACGCCGCGUGAGUGAAGAAGGUUUUCGGAUCGUAAAGCUCUGUUGUAAGAGAAGAACGGGUGUGAGAGUGGAAAGUUCACACUGUGACGGUAUCUUACCAGAAAGGGACGGCUAACUACGUG
rnacentral:rRNA from 1 species